rnacentral:rRNA from 1 species
GUGCAUGCCUAUAACAUAGCAUUAAUGCACCAGAUCCCAUUAGAAAUCCAUAGUUAAUCGUGCUUGAGCUAGAGUAGUACUGGGAUGGGUGAUCGCCUAGGAAGUCCUAGUGUUUUACAUG